rnacentral:rRNA from 1 species
UACGUAGGGGGCAAGCGUUGUCCGGAAUUAUUGGGUUUAAAGGGUGCGUAGGCGGUCUUAUAAGUCAGUGCUGAAAUAUCCCGGCUUAACCGGGAGGGUGGCAUUGAUACUGUAGGACUUGAGUAAAGUUGAGGUUGGCGGAAUUGACGGUGUAGCGGUGAAAUGCUUAGAUAUCGUCAAGAACACCGAUAGUGUAGACAGCUAACUAAGCUGUAACUGACGCUGAGGCACGAAAGUGUGGGGAUCAAACAGG